GCAUAUCAAUAAGCGGAGGAAAAGAAACUAACAAGGAUUCCCCUAGUAACGGCGAGUGAAGUGGGAAAAGCUCAACUUUGAAAUCUGGCACCUUCGGUGUCCGAGUUGUAGUCUCAAGAAGUGUUUUCUGUGCCGGCCCGUGUAUGAGUCUGUUGGAACACAGCGUCAUAGAGGGUGACAACCCCGUUCAUGACACGGAUCCCGGCGCUUUGUGAUACACUCUCGAAGAGUCGAGUUGUUUGGGAAUGCAGCUCAAAUUGGGUGGUAAAUUCCAUCUAAAGCUAAAUAUUGGCGAGAGACCGAUAGCAAACAAGUACCGUGAGGGAAAGAUGAAAAGCACUUUGGAAAGAGAGUUAACAGUACGUGAAAUUGUUGAAAGGGAAACGAUUGAAGUCAGACGUGCGUGAUGCGGUUCAGCUCUGGUUCGCCAGAGUGUACUCCGUAUCUUUGCAGGCCAACAUCAGUUUCGCGAGUCGGAUAAAGGUUAGAGGAAUGUGGCACCUCCGGGUGUGUUAUAGCCUCUGACUGAAUACGAUUUGUGGGACUGAGGAACGCAGCGCGCCGCAAGGCAAAGGUUUCGACCUUUUCGCGCUUAGGAUGUUGGUGAAAUGGCUUUAAACGACCCGUCUUGAAACACGGACC
rnacentral:rRNA from 1 species